AGUGAACGCUGGCGGUAGGCCUAACACAUGCAAGUCGAACGGCAGCACAGUAAGAGCUUGCUCUUACGGGUGGCGAGUGGCGGACGGGUGAGGAAUACAUCGGAAUCUACUUUUUCGUGGGGGAUAACGUAGGGAAACUUACGCUAAUACCUCAUACGACCUACGGGUGAAAGCAGGGGAUCUUCGGACCUUGCGCGAUUGAAUGAGCCGAUGUCGGAUUAGCUAGUUGGCGGGGUAAAGGCCCACCAAGGCGACGAUCCGUAGCUGGUCUGAGAGGAUGAUCAGCCACACUGGAACUGAGACACGGUCCAGACUCAUACGGGAGGCAGCAGUGGGGAAUAUUGGACAAUGGGCGCAAGCCUGAUCCAGCCAUACCGCGUGGGUGAAGAAGGCCUUCGGGUUGUAAAGCCCUUUUGUUGGGAAAGAAAAGCAGCAGGUUAAUACCCCGCUGUUCUGACGGUACCCAAAGAAUAAGCACCGGCUAACUUCGUG
rnacentral:rRNA from 1 species